rnacentral:rRNA from 1 species
AUUGAACGCUGGCGGCAGGCUUAACACAUGCAAGUCGAGCGGGGAAAGGUAGCUUGCUACUCUACCUAGCGGCGGACGGGUGAGUAAUGCUUAGGAAUCUGCCUAUUAGUGGGGGACAACAUCUCGAAAGGGAUGCUAAUACCGCAUACGUCCUACGGGAGAAAGCAGGGGACCUUCGGGCCUUGCGCUAAUAGAUGAGCCUAAGUCGGAUUAGCUAGUUGGUGGGGUAAAGGCCUACCAAGGCGACGAUCUGUAGCGGGUCUGAGAGGAUGACCCGCCACACUGGGACUGAGACACGGCCCAGACUCCUACGGGAGGCAGCAGUGGGGAAUAUUGGACAAUGGGGGGAACCCUGAUCCAGCCAUGCCGCGUGUGUGAAGAAGGCCUUUUGGUUGUAAAGCACUUUAAGCGAGGAGGAGGCUACCGAGAUUAAUACUCUUGGAUAGUGGACGUUACUCGCAGAAUAAGCACCGGCUAACUCUGUGCCAGCAGCCGCGGUAAUAC